GCCGGGCGUGGUGGCUCACACCUGUAAUCCCAGCACUUUGGGAGGCCGAGGCGGGUGGAUCACCUGAGGUCAGGAGUUUGAGACCAGCCUGGCCAACAUGGUGAAACCCCGUCUCUA
rnacentral:SRP_RNA from 1 species